rnacentral:tRNA from 1 species
UAUAGAGUGCCUGAACAGAGGGCCUUCUUGAUGUGGAGGGGCAUGUAAAAUUUUUUUACCUCUAUAA